GCCCACAAACAGCUCACGGUCUGGUAGGAGCGACAUACAGACACAGAAAGUUGUCAUGAGUAAGCGCUGGACAGAGCUUGAUAAAGGGUGCCCUAGAACGCAGAGAAGAGCUUAUAGCAUGGGAGGAGUUGAUGUGGAUCAUUGGAAAAUACAGCCUGCCACAAAUGGACAUAAACGAAAGUCUCCUCAUCGAUAGUUAAGCUUCAUCCAUGAAGUCCUGCAACAUUUUCGGUGCCCAAUGUGGGGCUCAAAAAGCGGCCAUCAGACUCCAAACAGUUAUGCAACUGGAGCCUCCUGAGGAUGACCCCUUCUGCCUGGGACCCUUAGAUCAGCCUCUAGAGAAGCUUUGACUGCUGUUUCCCCAAAACAGCACCCCCUGCCAUCAGGAAGCAAGCUGAUCAAGGAGAGAAGAUAAGGCAUGGAUAUUCAGUUUAAAAUGGUAGAGAACCAUAAUAAUACCUACCUUGAAGUGAUGAUAUAAACUACAUGACACAGAGUACUUGCUUCACACAGUGUUGGAACACACAGAGCUGCCACCUGGAAAUCCCUGCUCAUCUAAGGGUUGCAUCUAGACUCUG
rnacentral:lncRNA from 10 species